rnacentral:rRNA from 1 species
UACGUAGGGUGCAAGCGUUGUCCGGAAUUAUUGGGCGUAAAGAGCUCGUAGGCGGUCAGUCGCGUCUGCUGUGAAAACUCGGGCUUAACUCCGGGCCUGCAGUGGGUACGGGCUGACUAGAGUGCGGUAGGGGAGACUGGAAUUCCGUGGUGUAAGCGGUGAAAUGCGCAGGAUAUCAGGAGGAACACCGGUGGCGAAGGC